UCCGUCUACCAGUGUUUCAGUCCCUUCGCAAAGCGCUGGAACGUCGUGGGAUUUUCUGAAAACAAACAUUUUAUGCACCGUGAUACAGUAGUGUAGGCUUUCUGACGUUAGUGAAAGAGAUGUGUGAAUGAAUUGGGAAGCCUUCUGUUAAUUAGGACCUCGAAAGGGGUAGUUAUUUCCUGGAGUCCGGACAGUUUCGCUAUCUACUUAAACGUGGCCUACAGAGAGAGAGAGAGAGAGAGAUCUCCAUCGAACGCUGAAGAACAACUGAAGCUGCAGAGAUGGCCAGACCUCACUCUGGGUCGCCUCGCAUCAAACACAGGUCCUACGAGAGCGACUACGCUGAGAAUGGCGAUGAGCGGUCUCGAGGGUUCCGCGGUGGCCGAGGGGGCGGUCCUAGCCGAGGCGGCGGGCCAAUGAAAUCGUCGGUCUGGAAAGAGUCCCACCGGGGCCGCAGCGCCCCCUAUCCUGACAGACGCCCAGCACCAUGGCAACCAAAAAGCCCUCGUGGCCGAGGCCCUCCCCCGCCGUGGCAGCGCCAUGACAACCAGGAUCACCAUGGCAACCAGGAUCGCUACGGUGGUUACGCCUCCUCCUCCCCACCGCCCUCGGAUGGACACCGCCGCCAUGGCAACCCGUCUUCUAGGCAACCACCAGGCCACGGCCCUGGAACCCGCCGACCGCCCCCUCACGAGGACUCGGGACGCCCGCCACCACGUCGCUACGACGACGAAGGAACACCACAGAGAUUCCAACCCCACGCACGCCACACGCCAGAGCACCGCAGCCACAACCCAGAGCCCCACCACCCCCCACACCACCACCACAGAGGCUCCUUCAGGCAGCCGCCCCCACGACAGGAGCACCGCACCUGGGACAGGUCCCCGUCGCCUGGCAACCGCCCCAAACCCCUCAGCCUGGCCGUAGAGCGCGGUCGGGGCCGUGGACGCGGCCGGGGGAGAGGGGCGGGGCCAGGACGGGGAUCGGGAGGCGGCCGGCCAGCAUUCUGGGACGACAGAGGCCCCGCCUACCCAGACAACCCUCGCCCCCACUACCCCCCUCAUCCCCGUGGCAACGAGGAAAGGAAAGAGCGGGAGUUCCACGGCCGGGAGAGAGAGAGGUGGUCCUCCUCGUCCGAGAGGGAGAGAAGCCGAGAACGGGAGAGGAAGACAAGUCGCCAUGACAACUCUCAGAGCAGGCCCCUGCCACAACAACCACCCCCGUCGUCAUGGAAACCAGCAGGCCAGCGACCUUCAGGGCCCCACAGUGCUCCGAGGAGCCCGACCGACGGAGCCCCGCCCCCACGGAGAUUCCCGACCCACUACGCCCCUCGAGGAGCCCCAAGAGGAGCCCCAAGAGGAGCCCCUAGGGGUCACUUUGUCGCUCGCGGCGCCCCUAGAGGUCACUACGUCCCUCGCGGCGCCCCCAGAGGUUAUAUGGCACCUCGGGGUGGCGGCAGGGGUUACUUCGCCCCUCGCGGCGGCCUGAAGAGGCGGUUUCCAGGGUUACUGGAGCAACCUGUCCGGCCGGUUCCUCCCCGCGGGCCGCCGCCGCCCCUCCUGAAACACUUCCAACGCGAGCCGUCCUUGGGCCCGCCCCCUCGGGGGUUUGGAGGCCGCGGCCUCUCCCUGCGCGACAAGAGUCGCCUGCUGAAGAACCGGCAGUUCCGCGAGGAGUCGGUGGCACGCUUCAGAACGUUCCCCACCAGGGGACGCGGUGGCGGCCCCCCCUUCCAAUCUCGCGGGGGGCCCAGAGCUCUCAUGGGCCGCCUGCCGCCGGGCCCCAACGCUCGCUACCAUGGCAACCCCUCCACAGCCAGGCUCGUGGAUCCCAAGGGGCCACAAAGGAGUUCUGGUCCCGCGGAGCAGCUGCAGCAGGAUGAGGGGCGACGACCCUCCGGCCAAAACAGGUAUGGUACCCUCCCCUCUCCACCUCAAACAGACCACACCCACCCCCUGCCUUCUGGCCCCAUCAAAAACCACAUCCCUGCCCUCUGGCCCAAUCAAAAAGCACAAUGCUGGCUUCUGGCCCAAUCACAGCCCACAUCCCUGCCAUGUGGUCCAAUCUUGUGUGUAUAGGUUUCUGUUAUGCUGCUGCCAGAGUCCAAUGAUCAAUCCACUGCAUCAGUAACAACACCGGCUUUAAUUCACUGCGAGCCAAUGGGAAGCAGCCAGAGAGAGGGUGGGCCAAUAGAAUGCAGUGCAGAUCUGGUCGCUUUAGUGGACAAAUGAUGAACCAAUGGCAGCUGAACGGGAGGUUCUUAAUGGCGUUAUGGAAGGGGAAAAGAGUCGAUGAAUGGAACUCAUCUUACAAAAACCUUUCAGAGAAUCCUGAAAAUAUGUUGCAGACUGUUGCACUACGUUGCCGCCAAAGCAAUUAAUUGGAUCAGGAAACCACAUCAAAAAUGUCUCGGGAAAACGAAGCAAAAUGUUGCAAACCUGAAGAGAGGAGAUGGAGCCCAGAGAUUGCUACAUGUCUGUUAGCUUCACAAUGAAACAGGAGGUGUCCGUCCAGAAAUGUCAACCAAACGACAAACUCCAUCCUGGAGACCUGAUGGCUUUCUGAAAGAACUCAGACAUUGGAAAUUCCAAUUUUGGAACCUCAUUAGAGAUACUGGACCAAGUUCAAUAACGGCUCCUGUCCCACAGUAAAAAUCUACAAAUGAAGAAGCUCAUCGUCUUUGAAUAUUUCAGAAAUGGAAUUUCAGCAUUCCAGACAUGUGGAGCUCAAGAGGUAUUCCGACAGCACUUGCCCGUUAUUGCUGUAAGUGACGCUUUGCUAAACUGAUCCGUAACACCAGCUGAAUGUAUGUAUUGGGUAGCUUAUAUAGAGGAGGUGUCCUCUACCAGAGAUGAGAUCAAGUCACUAAUUUGUAAGUCUCGAGUCUCACGAAUCAAGUCACAAGUUGCGCCACAUUUGACCAAGUCCAAGUCGUACCCAAGUCAAGUCCAAAUCCAAGUCUCCAAGUCCAAGCUUUUUUCCCCAAGUCCUUAUCAAGGCACCAUGUGUUCCACGUGCAGUCUUGACAACUACUUUUCACGUUCUAAACAAAAUAGGCCUACUGGUACUAGUUAAGGGCAAAUCCAUUUGAUUUUCAUUUAUGUCAUGUAAUAAUUUAACAUACAAAUGAAAAGUUGAAAAUUUAAUAUACUUAGACUUCACAUGCCACUGCAAGUCAUUGCAAGCUAACACUAUUCCAAGUCAAGCUAGCUCAAGUCAAGUAUCAAGCCAAUAGCGUACAAGUCCAAGUCAAGUCACAAGUCAUUCCUACUAUUGCCAAGUCUCAAGUCAUCAAUUUGUGACAAGUCUUAGUCACAAGUCCACAUCUCCGCUGAAGACAAUGCCAUCAUAGGCCACUGCCACCACCCUCAUGUAUCUAGCUGGAGACCACAAACCCAAAUCAGAUACGACACCCAGAGAGGAGGAUACCUACUGAUAUCCAGGCAGCCACGCCUAAACCUGACAUUGCAACACUUCCUGUGGCAUUGUUUGCUGACGAUGGCAUGGCCUGAAAUGAAUACUCAACUCAACCCAAUACUUACACAUUGGAGACCUCAGAAGAGCCCAAAGAAGAACAAAGGGCUGUCGUUCUGCCGUUUCUGUCCGUAAUGAAAAGCUACAGUGCAACCUGUUCAACCCUGACUCAGAGCAUAGGCAGCGGCCAUCUAACUCGUUUAAGAACUUGAGCUUGGUGAAGACCUCACUCAUAGACUAAGGCCAAGCUCCCGUUGUGCCCCUCAAGUGGGCAAUGUUAAAUCAUAAUAAUCUCAAGCUUCAUUUAUGGUGUCGUAUGCCUGAAGGCAACACCUACUCUGGCCACAGUCUUAUAUACGGUGCACCUUUUUAAGUCGUACAGCUCAAGCUCCCAGUGAUGUCAUACCCCUAAAGGUUGUGAUGGCAGCGUUGGUGUACGUGUCAGAAGAGAAUCCUUGAAUCUGCCAUCCCAUCUGCAGUCAGCUACGAAAUCAGAACAGUUGGCCUUAUUGGCACUGGAACAGCGUUGACGUAUUCCUGUAUCUUCAAGAAGAGGAAUAAAAGGGUGUUUUCCUGCAUCAGAACUGAAUAGUUUGAUGUAAAGUGCUGUUCCCUCUGAUACGCACCAGAAGCAUUUAGCUGAGCUCAGAACUGGGCUGCCGAACCAGGCUUGAGCUGUGUUUUAGGAACGCUAAUCGUUAGCAGCCUACCAGAGCUAGCCUUCCGCGAGCAUCUGAAGCGUCUAUGAAUUCAGAAGAGUGGCCCAUAUGGAGCAUCAAGAGGAAAACACCCUGGAGUAUCGCUUUGGAGUAUCGCUUUGGAGUAUCCCCUCGUUACUCCCCCGUUAGCCAUCGCUGGGUGAUCCUCUGCUGCUCCACAUGCCCUGCCUGGACAGAGUGACUAUCGCUUUGGAGAAAACUAGAUCAGCUGAUGUCCACUUCACAAAACAUUCACCUCUCUGGAAAAAACGGACGAUGCUUGGGGGACACCGUUUUAUACACGUUUUAUUGCAAGACGAAAACGGAAAUGAGAACCUCUUGUUAGCCAAUCAUAUCCAACCUGCCAUCCUAUCGAGCCAAUCACAUUCAACAUGACCUCCUAAUCAGCCAAUUAUUCUGAAGCGCUAUGAAAGCCGUGACGGAUGUAAAUGCUCCAUUCCAAUCCUGUCCACUGGGCCAGCUGCUUCCCCCUCCCCUUUGUGCCUCUAAAGGGUUAACCCUUAACCCCUGCAGGGCGUGGAGGACGGAGGCCUGUGGUUCCGCCUGCUGAGCGCGUGUUGCCGAGCGACCUCGUGGUAGUGUCCGAGUGGGAGGCCCCAGAGCACCCUGACGAUGGUAACCAUGACGAUAGCCA